rnacentral:tRNA from 1 species
GGGGCUGUGAUUCAGUGGAAGAGCCUUUGCUUUGAAUGCAGAAGGUCCUGGGUUCAACCCCUGGCAUCUCCA